CAUUGAUACAGUCCACAGAGGUGAAAUCCCCAGAGUGGAGGUGAGUGGAUCAGGGGCAAGUGGAAGUUGCCCAGCAUGGGCACGAAUACCCUUCCUAGAAGCGCCCAGCUGCCUUCUUAUUGUAACCCAGUGACCAUAUCUGGGUUUACAUGCCCGUUUCUAGACCCAUCACAGGCAAACCAGAAUGGAAUGCCAUACUGGCUGCCUUGGGAAAAUUGUGAUGUGCUGUUCACGGGAACAGCAGUGAGUCUAUCGUGUCCAUUAAGAGCAGGGGCUCUGAAGCCUGAUGGCCACAGUUCAAAUCCUGACUCCAUCACUCCUCAGUUAUAUAACCCGUGCCCAGGAGCUUAACUUUUUGUUCCUCAGUUUCCCAUCUGUAAAAUGGUGAUAAUGACACUUCACAGGUUGAUGUAAUGAUUAAAUGUUUAAUGUACAAAAGGUGCUUAACACAGUACUUGGCUCACAGCAAAGGUUAACUACCGAUCACCUAGUGUAUAUUUCAAAGUAGCUAGAAGAUAGCAAUUCAAAUGUUUCUAGCAUGAAGAAAAGACAACAAUUUAAGGCAAUGUAAAUCCUGAUGAUAAUGAUUUGAUCUUUACAAGUUAUUCAAACGUGUUAAAUGAUCACAUGUAUCCCCAAUGUAUGCACAACUAUUAUGUAUUAAUAAAAAAUAAAUUUUUUAAAAAUUAAA